CCAUGGAGAAGAAAAACUGCACUGCCAACUGCCUCAAACCACUCCAAAGACAAUUUUUAGUACUGGAGGAGAGAAGAGUGCUUUUUCAUCAUGCAGACUUUCCUGAAUUGAUGCUGAGAGGGAUGCAGCAAUUUUGGUGGUCAAUUCUGGUGGCGCUUCCAAAUGACGUGAUGUCGCGAAGGUACAUUCCGCACAGGCUGGCCCCUCUACGUUGCUGAGAAGCACUCCACAAGCACACACUCUCGUUAUUCCACUCCACACAACUGUGAAGGAGGGAGGAAGAGGAAGGAUGAAGAAAAGGAAGAAGGAGGAAGAAGGGAGGAAGGAGGAAGCAGGAAGGAGGAAGGAGGAAGAAGAAGGCAGGAAGGAGGAAGGAGGAAGAAGAAGGCAGGAAGGAGGAAGAAGGAAGCAGGAAGAAGGAAGGAGGAAGAAGGAAAAAGGAAGGAGGAAGAAGGAAAAGGGAGGUAGAAAGAAAGAGGAAGGAAGAAGAAACAGGAAAGAGGAAGAAGGAAGGAGGAAGAAGGAAGGAGGAAAGAGGAUGAAGAAAAAUAAAAGCGGAAGGAGGAAGAAGGAAGCAGGAAGGAGGGAGAAGGAAGGAGGAAGAAGGAAAGAUGGAGGAGGAAGAAGGAAGUAGGAAGAAGGAAGAUGGAAGGAAGAAAAAAGAAGAAGGAAGUAGGAAGGAGGGAGGAGGAAGAAGGAAGUAAGGAGGAAAAAGGAAGAAUGAAGGAGGAAGAAGGCAGUAGAAAGGAGGAAGGAGGGAGAGGGAAGUAGGAAAGAAAAUGGAGGAAGAGGAAGUAGGAAGAAUGCAGGAGGAAUCAGGGAAAAGGAAGAAGGAAGUAGGAAGAAGAAAAAAGGAAGACAGGAGGAAGUAGAAAGGAGGAAGAAGUUAGGAGGAAGAAGGGGGAAAAAGGAAGAAGAAGACGAAGGAGGAGGACACACUUUUUACACAAAGUUCUGCUAAUUUAACCCUUAUGUGAAACAGUUAAAUAGCAACUCCUAGUGAGACAGCAGGCGGAAAGAUUUGAAGGAAAACUGUUGCUGCCACAAGGGAAGUUUGAUGGCAGGACUUGGAGUGUGUAUGCAUGAUGUACUAAUUGAAGCAUUAGUACAGUUUCUUUGGGGGGGUGUCAGAUGAGUGUAGAGGAACCCCCUACUCUCCACCUUUGCCUAGGGCAAUGUCUGCAUCAGAGAUUGGUGCCAACGUAAUAAUCAGCCUCACAGAAAGUUGGAUUCAGAGUCUGGAAAGAUGGAAGAUACAAUCUUUACAGCCUAUGGAUAGACCCUCCUUUCCAAACUUCAGCGUUUGGAAUCUUAGUACAAUUUCUAUACCAAAGGUGCUUGCCAAAUGAAACUCUGGAUUUACAACAAAUUGUGUUUUGAAAAAUACUGUAUUUGCCAGGCGCGCAGCGGCUCAUGCCUGUAAUCCCAGCACUUUGGGAAGCCAAGGCGGGUGGAUUACGAGGUCAGGAGUUCAAAACCAGCCUGACCAAUAUGGUGAAACCCCUUCUCUACUAAAAAUACAAAAAUUACCGUGGUGGCAGGCGCCUGUAAUCCCAGCUACUUGGGAGGCUGAGGCAGGAGAAUCGCUUGAACCCACAGGGCAGAGGUCACAGUGAGCCAAGAUCGUGACACUGCACUCCAGCCUGGGCGACAGAGUGAGGCUCCGUCAGAGAGAGAGAGAGACAGAGAGAAAGAAAUAUUUAAAUUGCUCCAGUUCAAAUAAGCCGGUAAUAAGCCAAACCACCUGUCUCAUAGAGAGCUGGAGAGAGAGAAGGGUCAGCAAGGGAAAUGAUAAAAUAAACAAAUCACUGCUAUGAAAAUUUAUAUGGCUCACCCCGCCUCUGAAAUGAGAGUUCAAAAUAGAAAUGCUUGCUCCUUAACACGGGUUAUCAUAACGAGAUGCAUUUAAUACAUGAGUUUGCUGGAUACCAUGGUUCAGCCGUGCUGUAUUUUUUUUCCAUGAUAGAUUUGAAACAUCCAUCGCUUCAUUUGCUGCCUCUUUCCACAAAGCAGAUACUGGAGAGCAAAUCUCAUGCAGAUGAUGUUUUGUCUAGAGGCAGCGAGCUGUUUUAUAAUAAGGCAGAUGUAGAGGAUGCAAU
rnacentral:lncRNA from 10 species